GUUUUUUUUUUAUUGCUUAGAUGGUUGGACGAGCUCACAGGCCACCUGGUGUUAAGUGGUUACCGAAGCCCAUAGACAUCUACAACGUAAAUGCGCCACCCACCUUGAGAUACAAGUUCUAAGGUCUCAAGUAUAGUUACAACGGCUGCCCCACCCUUCAAACCGAAACGCAUUACUGCUUCACGGCAGAAAUAAGCAGGGCGGUGGUACCUACCCGCGCGGACUCACAAGAGAUCCUACCACCAGUGUAAGUACACUGUAGUAACAGCGUAGUUAUUUAAAGCAGAGUUUUUUUUAAAUCAGUUGUAACGCUGGAAAAAUUAAUUUAGAUUUUUUUUUAAAUUAACGCCAUCUAGUAUAAGUGGCGCAGUGUGGGGAAAUAAAAUAAUUUUAAUACACUAAUUAGUUCACUCACUCAACGCUGCAUGUCGUGACUGUACGAUCUUGUCUAUUGUUCGAAGACGAGGUUUGCACAUCACUAGCAUGCAGAAUCUUCGAGAACCGUCAGACUAUUACUAUAAAAGGACAAGUCACUUUGUCCAAGUCCUUUUUCUAUCAACAUCUCUCGAGCUGCAAGGUUAUUCUUAAGCAUUUGCCUAAGUCAAUUUAAUAGUUCCUUGGUGUCGUGUAUUAAACCAGGGUAAGUGUUUUAUAAUUUAUUCUCCACACUGUGUCCACAAACUGUAAUUAAAUAGAAUUUAACAUCAUAUAUGUCAUAUAUAUCAUAUGUAUGUAUAAACGAGCAUUUUAUUAUGUCUGGCCAAGAGAAAUUACUAUGCAUAGACAUAAUACUCAAAAAGAUAUGUAAUAAAACAAACAAAAAAAUAAUUAUAUGCGGAGAUUUCAACAUAUGGGGGGAAUAUCAGUAAAGGUUUUGAAGUCUGUAAUAGACAUUAUUGCUUCUCAUCUUGUUAGUAUUUUUAAUGAUUGUAUUAAGUGUGGUGUAUUUCCUGACUUAAUGAAACAUAGUUAAGUGAUUCCUCUUUUUAAAUCUGGUAGUACUGAUGACCCCUCUAACUAUAGACCUAUUUCAGUACUCCCUACGUUGAGUAAAAUCUUUGAAAAAAUUAUUUUGACACAACUUUUAGAACAUUUUAAUUCAAAUAACCUGCUUCAUAAUAAACAAUUCGGAUUUACAAGGGGUCGCUCUACAACUCUCUAUCUACGACUACCAAAUUUACGCUCUAUCAACGACUACCAAAUUUAUCGUGUCUGGACUGGAGUCCACGAAGGUUAGAGUCAGGCAUGAAGUAAAUGUAUUAUCACGAUGGAACAACUACAUUUUACCUAUAAAAGCCUACGUGAUGACGAAGCCCUUGUCUAACAUACAUUCAGGCACAAGAUUAAUGACUAAUGACAAAUUAAUGAAUUACUUGCUGAUGAUGGAACACAAUGGCACUUCAUCCCGGCCUACUCUCCAAAUUUUGGAAAUUUAUGGGAGACGGGUGUGAAGUCUAUUAAGCACCAUCUACGAAGAAUCCUUAACACUAACCUUACCUAUGAAGAGCUUACAACGGUUCUUUUUUUUUUUUAUUACUGGUGGCCCGGAGACCUUUCCAGUUUCACCAGAACAGGUGGGCGAGCAAAGGUCAUUUUUGAUAACUGAAGCCCCUGUAACUGUGCCUGAUGUGAACCUGAAAGACGCUAAAAUAAGCAACCUGACACGUUGGAAAUACACAUAAAAACUGGUCCAGAUGGCAAAAAGAAUACUUGACGCGGCUGCAACAAAGACCGAAAUGGUUAAAACGCGAAGACGAAUUCAAGAUAGGAGACAUUGUCCUCAUAAAACAGAACAAUUUGCCACCAGGAAAGUGGCUUAUGGAACGAAUAACCGACAAGCAUCCUGGCCCUGACGGUCUUACCAGAGUCUAUAGUGUAAAGAGUGGUGAUCAUAUAACAAGGUGAUGCGUAACCAAACUAUGUGCGUUGCCCAUACAAAUAGAUUAGUGCUAUAUAGUUGUUAACGUUUGUUAUUUUACUAUUGUUCUUUGUAUAAAUUCUUUCUGACCGCACCAUAUACCGAUACUUUAGUGAUUGUUGUAGAAGCAAAUCAAAACAUGUGAUUACCUAUAAAAUUUGUUGAUUUUACUUAAUUUGAAAGGACUUCAGUUGUCCUUUGGUGGGCGGUUUAUGGUGAUUCUGUUUUGCGAUUUUGAACUUAAAAACGUAGUCUCAUUUAACUUUACGAUUAAGCGGUAGUUGUCAAUAUACAUUUACGAAGGAAAGAUGUGUUUCUCUAACUGAUCCGCCGGCACAAGCCAAACUGAACCUUACGACCUCACCACCACCAUGUAAAACUGAAUUAUUUCAACAAUUUCUCCGAGCGAAUUACAUUUCUAGUAUAUGGAAUAACGCAAAUGAAAAACUACCAACCAUUUUAACUCCCGAACGCAACGGGUGGAGGCUAGAAGAAAACCAAUAUCACUUUCAUUGGUUUGAUGGUGACCAAUUACCUGGAGACAUUAGUAAAUUCCUUAAAAAUUCAGAAGACGCUGCCAGCAACGACAACAUCACUGAUGACGACGAGGAUGACUUGCAUGGACAAUAUCGUGAUUGGAUGAACGAUGAAAAUUCCAAUGAGUGUCAUGAUUGCGAUGAUUAAAAGAUAAACAAAUAUUUGCUGUAAUUAAUCAUAGGUAAAUAUUUUUUUCUUAAAAUUUUUCUAACUGGUAUCUUUUUUACAAUAAAAUAAAGAUAAUUCCUUAUAAAACAAAAUGGCUCCUCAUAUAUUCACUAUCCCAAAUACAUGCAAUAAAUAAACUCACUUUAAUUAUAAUUCAUAUAUAUAUUAAUUCACAACUUACUAUUGAAGCUCAUCCCUGAUUAGAAAAAGAGAUUUGAAAAGAUUCGAAAUGGAUCAAAGAAAUUAAAAAAGAUUCAACUUGACAAAUAUAUAGAUAUACAUUUUGCAUGGGUUGAAUCUUUUUAAACCUUUUUUUUAAUAAGGGAUCUUAUUGAAAUAAGGAUGCAAAAAUCUUGAAUUGAAAUUAGUAAGUAUUUUCUAUAUAUUUCAAUUUUUUACUCUGAAACGCAUGUGCAUAGUACUCUUGCGCUCGCUCUCCCGGCUGAAUAAUUAUUGUGUUUAGCGGAUGUUUGGUCACUCGAAUUUGUCUGACUGAUGAAAUACAACUUUGUAAUAGUUACUUGAAUAAGAUAUUUAAAAGUCAUACAUGAAAAAAUAAGUAAAGUUCAUAAUUUUUUUAUCGAGCUUUAAAGCGUCUGACAAAAGCUCUGGUCCAUGAAAAGUGUCUGACACUUAAUAAUUCUAGUUUAGAAUAAUAUUCUACAAAAUAUAUAUAAAAAUCAGCCAUACAAAUUUAAGUUAGAUAACUCAUAUUUUUAGUUACCUUUCUCACCUGGUACCUGCCCAGGUGUCACAGGGCAAGCUCCACAAGUUCCCUACUUGGUAUUUAAAGUAUACUAGACGCCACUAAGUCGUGAAGGUUUCAUCCAUGUGAAAAUAAGUUAUGUCAGAACAUUCUGGGAUCUUGGACUAUUGUGUGUUGUCUUCAUUUUGAAAAGUCGGUGAUUAUUUAUAAACCUCAAUUACGACCUGACGCUUUGCCUACAAAGCUGCUGCCAUCUCUAUCAACUACUUCAAGUGCCAGUACUGAACCAGAAUCCAAAGAAGUAUCGACACAAACCAAAUAUUCAAAUAUUAAUAUACUAUCAGCCAUUACCGUCAAAGGCGUUGAUACAAAAUCGGAGUCGAUACAGACAUCUCAUAAUAGUCAAACUGAACAAACUCAGACAUCAACUGCACUUUCAUCUAAUACACCAAGGAAAAGAAGACUUAGUAAAGAAUUGAAAGUGUCGGAACUAAAAAGAAGAACACUUGAGAAUGAUUUGGGUAAAAUAAAGCAAGAAGUUCAAUCAAAAGAUUUUUUAUUUUACCUAUACACUGACCUUUAUAAUGUUUUAGAUGUAUUAAUUUAUAUUUGUAUUAAUUAAUACCAAUUUAUAUUUUUUUUUUUAUUAACCAUACAAUUUUAAAUCAAUCAAUAUUAAUUAAAUCAAUAAAAUAGACACAAAUAGUUAUUUAUGUCGAUUUAAUUUUAUCGAAUAGGCAGCCCUGCGAUUCCUGUGGGAUCGCGCGGUGCGAAGCAAUCGCAAUUGUAGGCUUGGGUAUUUAGGCACAUUUUAGCAUGCAGCGGUUGCUGACGCGAAAGAGUAUGCUAUUAUAGCAGUAGGUAUUGGUAAUUUUCUACCGAGUGAAGUAUCUGUUUUUUAUUUAGUAAUCUGUGGUAUAACGCCCUGCGAUGGGGCUGCCUCGUUCUGCAGCGCAUCGGGCAUGUUUGCGGAGGCGCAUACCGACGAUUUCUAUGCCAUAAUAAGAAAGCGAUGCGCGUCCUUGUUCUGCAAAGUAGGAGUUAGCUCCAACCGCGUCCUGGCCAUGAUAUUUUCGAGAUUAGACCUUUUCUCAAUUAUUGUAAAGAGGUAUGUUGUUCUUUUCUUUUGUUACUAUGUCCUUACUAACACAUUUUUAAGAAAUCACUGUUACUAACAUUAAUAUGGAUUAAUAUUAUUAGAAAUAAAUGAAUUUGAUAAUAUAUUUAAUUACACCAUUUUUAUACUAGUAAAAUGGGUAAAAAUAUGUCGAAAGAGGAGAUCGUCGUUGCCCAGAACGGAACAAACGCAAACCUACAAGAUUCUACCUGGCAUAAUUAUUUUAGUAGGUUCAUACUCGGAAUUUUAGUGAUGGGCACAAUUGUAUACUGCCGUGUAUGCCGACGCUGUACCCUUCAAGCGAAGAAAUGGUUAAAUAGGCAUAUGCAAAUUAUCCAUGCGCAGACUAUAGAGACCAUGCAAUCGGCGAGAGGAAGCAUGCGUAAAAGCAGACCAGAGACCAGCACCGCAAAAGCCACUACUAAAAUUGAUAUCAUUUAAAUAAUGCGCAAACGCGUUUUCAGGUUUUAAGGCAUACUGGACAUUUCGACAGCAAAUCAAACGAUUUUUACGUGUAAUUUUAGUAAGUGUACUUAUCUGUCUGUAUGUUUAUGUUAACUGUCAUGUUAAUCUAUAUAUUCUGGUUCAGGUUCUGACCUCGCAGGAUGUUCGGCCCGAAAAAAAAGGGGGUAAAAAACAUCAAGAUAAAAGGGAGAGAAAAACGUGGAGGCCCGAAACACCCUUCUAUCAUCAUCGGCAUCUUGCUGAUUUCAACCCAGUCAACAACAACUGGAUCACCCUGACGUGUUGUCUUUCCCCUGUCUGUCAAGGAUUAUCCCCAUGGAUCACAAUGGGUUCUUUUCGGAGAGGAUGUUCCCCAGCUGUUUGAGUCAUCCGGUUUGCCCUUUCAAGGAUACAGAAAUCAGACAACUCAUUUAUGUCAUCACCUGAUUAGUGUGUCAUUUGCGUCAUCCCUCUGGAUAUCAUCUCAUAAAACAUUAUUAAUUGCUUAUUUAUCUAUACUAAUAUUAUAAAGAGAAAAGAUUUGAUUGUUUGUUCGUUUGCAUUGAAUAUGCUCCAAACUACUGAACCGAUUUGAAAAAUUCUUUCACUCUUUGGAAGUUACACUAUCUUCGGGAAAAACUCUUUCUGCUGAUGUUGCGAAUCCCGGCUGCCCGUUGGGGCUUAAGCAAUACACCACUUAUGAGGAUUUGGCCAACUUUUGCACCUGGACACGGCUUAAGAAUAAUACCACUACAGACCCUGCGUCUGUGGCACGUCCAAAAUUUGGACGCUUCUAACAAUUGGGUAUAAAACAAUGUGAAUAGAUGUGGAAGUAAUUAUUACAAAUAUAUAUAUUCAUAUUUCAAUCGGUUUACAGUACAGGUAGCAAGUUUGAAAGAAUGUUGUGAAGAGGCUGGGGUUUAAUAAAAAAAACUGCUUGAUUAUUCUUAAGUCUGCUUAAGGCUUGCUUUAACUCCAGCAUUAGAACGUGUUUUGCAGUUAUAUAAUCCACUACGUUCAUAUUUUUUAAACCUUGACUAACGUCCUACAAUUUUGAAGAAUUUCUUUCAAAGCGAUAUGUCAGAACCAUUUUAUUCACAAUCAGGCGUUGUUUCAUAAAAUUACUCUACAAAAUUGAAGGAGAUAAAAUUUCAGCAGCAGAAGUUUGUACUAUAUUAAACGAUUUCAUACUGCAAUGUAAAUCAAAAUUUAAUGAUGGAUUUUAACCAUUAAUUCUAAGGAAUAAACUGACCGUUUUGGAAGAUUCCAAUCCCGGAUUAAAAAAUGAAUUUUUAAAAGAAGUUAUUUUUUUUAUAAAAUUUGCUAUGAAUAUAUCGAAGAAUGGAUAGUGAACUUUAGAACAUUAAAUGUUUCAAAUGGACCCUUCUAAAUAGUAAAAUUGAAUGGAAAGAAGUUUCUUCAGCAAUCGAAUUUGUAAUGAAGGAAGUAAAAGAUAUUGCUAUUAAUAACAAUUUUCUCUUUGAAGAAAUUCGAAAAGUAAAUUUAUAUUUAAAUGAAGAAAAUUUGAAGAAAAGGAACGAUGAGAAAAUACAACUUGACAAAAGAUGGGUAGAAAUCUUUCGGCAUUUUGAGUAGAACAUAUCCCACAUCCCAAAUUUAAAAGUUUUAAUAGAAAUUUCCUUAUGUCGUCCAGGCACUAAUGCUGCUGUUGAAAGGGCAUUUUUACUAGGGAACGAUUAUUAGAGCAUUGAGAAGUCGCAACUUUCUGUAAAAACAUUAUCUGCCGUCUUAACAGUCAAAUUUAAUAUGCAAAAUGAAAGUUGUUCGGAUGUGGCUAGAUUAUUAUUAGACGAACAUUCUCAUUUAGCAAAAAAAAUCCACUCCGAAGAAAAAUAUGCUUUUAAAAGAAAAUAAAGUUUUUAUCGUUUUUUCUUCUUUUUUUUUUUCACCUAUGAAAUACUUGAAAAGUGUACUCUUUUGGAACAAAAAAUAGUUGGUCAUCUUAUCUAUACCGAUGAAAAAAUGUUCACGAUUGAAGAACACUACAAUAAGUAAAGGAUAAUGUGUACGCUCACAGUUCUGAAGAAGCUGCUCAAGUGGUCGGAAAAGUACAACGUGGUCAUCAUCCUGCAUCAGUGAUGGUUUGGUCGGGCGUGUCUUAUCAAGGAGUCAAAAAACUACAUUUUGAAAAAGGAGUGAAAACUUCAGCCAAAGUGAAUCAAGAUUUAGUCUUGGAUCAUGUUGUGAAACCUCUCAGCAAUAUACUUUUUAAAAACAUACCGUGGACUUUCCAGCAGGUCUCUGCACCUGGUCACUGUUGAAUGUAGAUUCUUUGUUACGUUUAAUCUAUGACAACUUCGAAUCUAUGUCUCUCUGCAUUAAAGAUGGCGAACACAAACUGAUGUCUGAUUUACAUAAUUCACCCUAACAAACGCUUCCACUGCGCUUUCGGCCCAUAAAUGGAUAUAAAAAGAAGUACAGAGUGUUAAUUAAUAAUAAUACAACAAAAAAAAACUCGAACAAACUCUGGAAACAAAAAAAAAAUGGCACGUGAACGCGAAGUAUUACCGCGACUCGAAGGCGUAGAUGGUGAUAAUUUCGGUAAUUGGAAAUUUCGAUUAAAAUUAAUUAUGGAAGAAAGGGGUGUGUGGAGCAUUAUAGAUAGCGACAUACAAAACAGAAGAAUCUAAGAAACUCGAUACUAAGGCUAGAAGCCUUAUCAGGACCAGUGACUACACCAACAUCUCAAGGUGAAAUAUAUUACCAAACCAUAAUUGAUGAUUACUCACAUUUCACUGAAGUAUAUCAUAUAUAUAUUAAAACAAAAAAGUGAAGCUACAGACAUAUUAAUAGAUUACAUACGCAGAAUUGAAAGACAGACUGGAAACAAAGUGAAGAAAAUUAGAUGUGACAACGGUGGAGAAUUCAAAAAUCAUAAAAUGUUGGGAUAUAGUAGGCGAAAUGGAAUAAUACUUCAAUUUACACAGCCAUACUCACCGCAGUCCAACGGAAUUGCAGAAAGAAUGAAUAGGACAAUAUACAAUAAAGCAAGGACUAUACUAAAUGAGACAAGACUACCAAAACAUCUAUGGGGUGAAGCUGUAUAUCAAAUAAACAGAUGUCCAUCAUCAGCAAUAAAGAAUAAAGUACCUGCAGCAAUAAUGUUUAGAAAAUUGGACUUAUCAAAACUGCGAGUAUUCGGUUCAAAAGUAUGGGUGACUAAUGUACCAAAGCAAGAGAAAUUUGAAAAUAGAGCAAAAGAAAUGAGAAUGGUUGGAUAUACACCAAUUGGAUGGAGACUAUGGGAUCCUAAAGAAAAUAUAAUAGUAUGCUUAAGAGAUGUAAGAUUUGAUGAAAAUGACUUAAAAUAUGAAGAGAAUAAACUAAAGCAAACUGAAAUAGAAGAAACUGUUAUCUACAAGGAUAAAGAAGAAGAAACUCACCUAGAAGAUGAAGAGAAAAUAUUAAGAGAAGAUGAAAAUAAAGAAAGAAAGAGUGAGAGAUGUGAAGAGAAAGAGCAAUAGAUAGAAAUUGAAAGAAAUACUUAUCAGAAAAGAUCUGGAAGACAAAUACAAAAACCAAAAGCAUUAGAAGAGUAUGAUUUAAGUAUUGCUUACUGUUUGUGUACAGGAGAACCUACUAAAUAUCAAGAAGCAGUACAAGUCAAAGAAUGGCGACAAGCUAUAAAUAAAGAACUUGAUUCACUUAAUAAAUUGAAAACAUGGGAAGAAACAGAACUACCAAAAGGACAAAAAGCUAUAGAUACCAAGUGGAUAUUUAGAAUGAAAGAAGAUGGAACAAAGAAAGCAACAACAAGGACAAGAGGGAUACUAUGCACCAGUAGCAAGAAUGUCAACAAUACGAAUUAUGCUAAGUCAUGCAAUACAAGAGGGACUUCCAAUAAAACAAAUGGAUGUUCCUACGGCAUUUCUGAAUGGAGAACUAAAAGAUAAUGUUUACAUAAAAUGCCCUGAAGGUGUAAAACCGAAAAGUAAAAUAUUAAAACUAAAAAAGUCACUAUUUCGACUCAAAGAAGCACCAAGAUGCUGGAAUGACAAAUUUAAUCAAUUUAUGACAAACAACGAAUUUACUCAAUCAAAACAUGAUUUUUGUUUAUACAAUAACAAAGACGCAUGGAUACUCAUAUUUGUUGAUGAUAUUUUACUACUAGGAAAUCAGAGUAUACUAGAAAAAUUGAAAACAGAAUCCAAAAUCAAAGAUUUAGGUGAAGUGAAAAACUACUUAGGAUUGGAAAUAUCAAGGAGUAACGAUAAAAUGGAAAUAAGACAAACAGAAAUGAUAUAAAGAAUUAUAGAAAAGUUUAACAUGCAAGAAAGUAAAGGAAUAAAUACUCCAAUGGCAUUUCCAUUACAGUGCAGAAAAAGAUGAAAAUAUUGAUGUACCAUACAAAGAACUUAUUGGUUCAUUACUUUUUAUAGCAAUGAACACUAGACCAGAUAUCUGUUAUCCAGUAUCAUAUCUGAGUAGAUUUAUGGACAACCCAACAACAUCUUUGUGGAAAGCUGCAAAGAUAGUACUUCGAUAUUUAAAAUGCACACAAAAUAAACCUUAAUAUACAGAAAAACAGAAGAAAGAAAAUUACUUGCAUAUGCAGACGCAGACUGGGCAGCUGACAAAGUAGACAGAAAAAGCACCAGUGGCUGUGCUAUAUACUACUGUAAUAAUCUGAUUCAAUGGUUUUCAGCCUGCAGUAUCACUAUCUACAGCAGAAGCUGAGUAUGUUGCAGCCGCACAAGCUACUACAGAAUUAAUUAAUUUAAGAGGGAUUAUUCAUGAUUUGACAUCAACAUCGGAUAUUACCACACAACUACUACUGGAUAAUCAAAGUGCUAUAAAGUUAAUUAAAAGUUUUGACAAUGGAAAGAGAUCAAAACACAUUGAUAUUAAAGUUCAUUUUAUUAAAGAUAUAGUAAAUAAAAAAUUACUAACAGUUGAUUAUAUUCCUACUGACAAAAAUGUUUCAGACUUAUUCACAAAGGCAUUACCAAAAAUAAAACAUGAUGAUUUUGUAAGCAUAUUAAAUUUAUUGUAAAAGAAACAAUCAUUUAGUUAGCAUAUUAUUAAGAUAAGAUUUGUAACCAACUAGAAUUGUAAUAUUUGUUUUUUUUUUUAAAUUAGCUGAGUUAUGUGUUCAAUUGUAUAUUAAACUAAACUGUUACAUAUAAUAUGUGAGAUUUUGCAAUUUUAGACUUUAUGAAACUCUAAAUUGAGGGGGAAUGUUGAAUGUAGAUUCUUUGUUACGUUUUAUCUAUGACAACUUCGAAUCUAUUUCUCUCUGCAUUAAAGAUGGCGAACACAAA